AUUGAACGCUGGCGGCAGGCCUAACACAUGCAAGUCGAGCGGCAGCACGGGUACUUGUACCUGGUGGCGAGCGGCGGACGGGUGAGUAAUGCCUAGGAAUCUGCCUGGUAGUGGGGGAUAACGCUCGGGAAACGGACGCUAAUACCGCAUACGUCCUACGGGAGAAAGCAGGGGACCUUCGGGCCUUGCGCUAUCAGAUGAGCCUAGGUCGGAUUAGCUAGUUGGUGAGGAAUGGCUCACCAAGGCGACGAUCCGUAACUGGUCUGAGAGGAUGAUCAGUCACACUGGAACUGAGACACGGUCCAGACUCCUACGGGAGGCAGCAGUGGGGAAUAUUGGACAAUGGGCGAAAGCCUGAUCCAGCCAUGCCGCGUGUGUGAAGAA
rnacentral:rRNA from 1 species